rnacentral:rRNA from 1 species
CACAAGCGGCGGAGCAUGCGGAUUAAUUCGAUGCAACGCGAAGAACCUUACCAAGGCUUGACAUACACCGGUAACGCCCAGAGAUGGGUGCCCCUUUGUGGUCGGUGUACAGGUGGUGCAUGGUUGUCGUCAGCUCGUGUCGUGAGAUGUUGGGUUAAGUCCCGCAACGAGCGCAACCCUCGUCCUAUGUUGCCAGCGGGUCAUGCCGGGGACUCAUGGGAGACUGCCGGGGUCAACUCGGAGGAAGGUGGGAUGACGUCAAAUCAUCAUGCCCCUUAUGUCUUGGGCUUCACGCAUGCUACAAUGGCCGGUACAAAGGGCUGCGAUACCGCGAGGUGGAGCGAAUCCCAGAAAGCCGGUCUCAGUUCGGAUUGGGGUCUGCAACUCGACCCCAUGAAGUCGGAGUCGCUAGUAAUCGCAGAUCAGCAACGCUGCGGUGAAUACGUUCCCGGGCCUU